rnacentral:sRNA from 1 species
ACUGGAGCCUGAGGUGUCCGCGCGGCCCGGGCCUGGCGCCCUGAGGGGAAGAGCGGCCCGGCCCGAGGGUGCUGGGGUGGAGAGUUUUACUCCAAUACCUUUCCUAGCCAUGACGGACGGGAUCCUAGGGAAGGCAGCCACAAUGGAGAUCCCUAUCCACGGGAAUGGCGAAGCCAGGCAGCUUCCUGAAGAUGAUGGGCUGGAGCAGGACCUCCAGCAGGUGAUGGUGUCAGGACCCAACCUCAAUGAAACCAGCAUUGUGUCUGGUGGCUAUGGGGGCUCUGGUGAUGGACUCAUCCCCACAGGUAUGAAUGUUCAGAAACAGGAAUCUUGGGUGGAGGAGGGACAGGAAUGGUUUGGGGAAGCAUAGGAUGUGUCUAGGAAAGCUUGAAUUAUGUCUGGAGAUCUUGGGAACUUCUGCUUGUAGGAACCCCAUGGACUCUCCUCAGCCCAAAAGCAACUCCCAGCAUUGUCCAUCCAUUUUCCUUUUGCCACUUAGCCCCUUAAAUGGCUCAUUUGUCCUUUCCCUGCCACCACCUGAGUCAAGUUAAGACCUACUUCACAGGAAUGCCCCCGCUCUACAGCUUGAGGCUGAGUUGGAACUUUGUGAGGCUUCUCAGAAUUUUUAGAUUCUAAAGUUUAGAGGAACAAACAGCCCUGAAUCUCACACUAAGAUUCCACAUGGGAAUGCAACCAGGUUUCUUGUUAUCAUGACCCACCAUCCUUGACUCCUGCUGCCCCCAAACUCAGUGUAUUUUCUUCCUCUGCCCCUGUACACCAACAACUCCCUGCAAACCCCUCCUUUAUCCCCCAAGAAGGCCAUAUGUAUAUCAGGAUUUGGUUCUCACCAUGCAAGGUUCGAGUUCCUCCUAGUAAGCAGGAGCAUCCAGUUGUCUCUAGCAUCUCCUUCAGGGAAGUCAAUUUCAUGUGCUGGAAGAGAAGUAUGGGUGGGGCCACAGAGGUG